CCCAGGGGAGCCUUGGAAGCUCUGAUCGAAGAUGGCAGAAGGCCUGUGUCCUGGGCAGAGGCCCCCGUCUGUCUGGACUUGAGUUGAUCAGUGCCUACAUCGCUAGCAGAGUAAUGGACACAUAGUGGCAGUGGGGUAAGUUUCCAUGUCACAGCCUCACUGCAGCGAGGUGGGGCCAGGUGACUUACACUCUGGCCAACAGGACAUGAAUGGAGGUGAGGUGUCCAAAUCCUGGCUCAUGACUUUAAAGGCAAGGGGCUGCCCUCCUCCCCCACCUGCCUCCAAGGGGUAAGGGCAACACCCUAAGGUGGUAGAGAUAUAAGACAGAAGGGGCUUGAACCUCUGGAUGACUGUAGACCAGGUCUACCUCAGAGGCCCUGGACUGUCUACUUUAGAUUCUUAUAUGAGAGAAAUAAACUCUUUUUUUUUUCUUAAAUAAGAAAUAAAUGUUAUUUAAGUUGU